UAGGCCGGGGGAGGGGCACGGUCACGUGCAGCUCCGAGGGCGUGACGUCACAAACCCCUCCCCUCCCCGGGCCGCGGCGGCCCGGCCUCGCCCCUCCUUUGCUGGUGCAGGGGAGGGAGCGGAGGUUUCCUGGUCCUCCUCCUCCGGCAGAGCCUCCCCUCCCCUCCCUCCCGGGGAGCGACCGAGACACGGACCGACACCCCCCCACGGGGGACAGAUCCUGCUCCCGGGCCGGGCCCGACACGAGGAGACUCCCCUUCCUCCCCGCCGCCGCCGCCCGCACAGGUCAGUACCGAUUUAGUGGCCGGUGACAGGCUGCCUUUGCCCGUCCGCCGUCUCCCAGACUUCUGCAAUUUUUCUUCAUCUCUGUUUAACUGAAAGUGUGCAUCGUAGCAGAUAUUUUAAGGAAAUCUCUCUCCCACACUUCACAUUUUGGAGCCUGCAGGAGAAAAUGCUGCUCAGUCUCAAUCCGGCCUCUGGAAUUGGUGUUUGGAAUUGGUUGGAGAGCUGUCCCAAUGUCACUGUGCACAGAAUUUUUUCUCUCAGUUUGUGAGGAGCCUGUGCCACAGAAUGAUGAGCUGAAGUUAUCAGGCAAAGAAGAGUCUUCACUUGUGAAACAGUCGGAACACAACACAGAGGUCCUUGUCAGUUCAGGUCAUGACAAGCUGCAGGCUGUACUUGGCGGAGACCCCACCACUACCCUGCACACUACUGUGGAUGUCUACGAGGAGCCAAGCCACAGGCCCCUGCCAUGAACUGGAAGGAGGAGGAGCAGGAGAGAGGUGACACAGCAGCAGGGUCCAUCUAUGCCAGGAGCCAGGACCUGCCUGAGACACCUGCACUGUCUAGCCAGUCCUGCCAGCUGAGCAUGGACUAGCCUGUUGAAGGGGAAGGGACCUCAGGAGCUGUUGCUGUUAUGGGGCCUUGAGGGGUCCCCCCUCCACACUCACAGAUCACUUAACUCUGAUGAGGAGAAAGAAGAGGACUAGGGAGGAUAUACUGAGUGAGGUCCUGCAAGCUGGUGCUGCAUUGGACUGUGAACAAAGGGCCUGGAAGGCUGAUGGCAUGGAGAGGGAAAAAGUGGACAGAAGAAAGCCCUGGAAUGCCAGCAGGGAGAGGGGGAGAUACACCAAGACUUAAUGGGUCUCUUCAGGGAGCAAAUUAAAAUGCUGCAGACUCCAACAGGUCCAGAUAUCCCAGAAUCAUCUUUGCAGACCUUGGAGAACUCCAGGGUAUCUCCCUAUACCCCCGUCCCUGCAACAUACCACAUGGCAUCCCGGGCUGCAUCCCUCUACCCUUACCACUCCACAGUGGGACACAGCAAGGAAAAUCACAGCUUCACACAUGCACUGACCCAUGAGAACUAUGGCUGGUGCACAUGUAGCCACAACAGACUACAUUUGUGCACUCAGGUGGGCAGAAAUAUCAAGCCUAGUGGUUAGAGCAGGAGUUGGUAGCCAGGAACAGGAGCCCAGGGUCAGAGCUGGAGUCAGAGGCCAAAUGCCAGAGCUGGAGACUGAAGUUAGGAAUUGGAGCCAAGGGUCAGAACUGAGUUACCUGGAGUGAGGCAACAGAGGGGCAAGGCUGGGCACAAGGCAGGAGCAGGAGCUUCCGCAGCCAUGGGAGAAUGCUUUGAGCAGCUGCCAAAAUACUGCUGCUGCUGGUCUUAAGGGUUGAUCUGGUGACUCUUCCCACCAAUCAGGCAGAUUUGCCACUGGGCAGCCUACUGCAUGCCAGCUGCAUUCCUUACGUUGCCCGGAGACUGGUUCUGUAGCAGACGAUUCCUGACAACACCAAUGAUAUGAGGUAACCAAAGUUUGUAGUGUAGAUGUGGCCUUAGUCUUUUAAGCUGCUGUAGGUCUGUAGCUGAACAACACCCUUCUUUUCUCAGUGCUAGUCUUUCAUUCUGUUUGGCUGCAGACUGGACAUGAUGGCAAUGUCUCUGGUUUUUUUGUUAUUGUUGUUUUUUUUUUUUAAAGCUGUCUUUAGAAAACAAAGGGCUAUAUACACUGUUAUUUCCACCCCCCCCACACCCCCGUUCCCUCCUCUGCAAGAAAGCUCAGAUUCUGAAAAAUAGCAAAAAUCUAUGAAAGACCUCAAAUUUGCUAUUUCCAUGGCACGGAUGUGUAUUGUCUGUAGUGAUGAUGGUCACAUAAGCCACAUCUCUGAAAUAAAAGUGAUAAUUUCUAUCUCAGAUGUUAUCUUUUCUUGUUAGUGUUCUGCAACAUGAUUAUGGUGAAUGGUGUUUCAAAUAAAAGUUAUGAAAUGCUACUGGCUGACUUGUAAAAGACAAAGGCUUGACUAUUGGCUAGUGCAUAAUUCCUCUUUUGCUAACUAGCUUUUGUGAUAUUUACAUUAUUUUGCGAUACUCUGGUGGAAGCCUGAAGAGGGAAAUGUUAUAGUUCUUUCACAAUUCAUUAGUUUGUAGGUGUCUCUGUUAUGAUGUUUACACAAUGAAUGACUCAUAAGCUAAAUGAAUAUGCCAGCCUAAUAUAGUGCAGCCUAUAGCGAAACCUGAUCCCAUUACAUAAAAGCAUGGCAGUUGUUCAUACUUGUGCUAUUACUUGAUGAAGUAUUUGCACACUGGAAAUGUACGUGCCAUAGGUUACUUAAAUGUGCUGUGUUUUUAUAAGAUUUUUCUGAAAUAUGUAGUGUUUUACAAUAAUAGAUUGGCCUCCUUUUCUCCACCCUUAUAGUAUUAUACCCCUUAUUGUUCGGUUUAAGUUCUACAGCUCUUUUGAGUGCAUAAUUUGGAACUCAGGCCUGGUCUACACUCAAAAUUUACAUCUGCAUAGCUGCGUCUCUCAGAGGAGUAAAAAAUCCACGAUCCUGAGAGACGUAGCUAUGCCGAUGUAAACCCAGGUGUAGACAGUGUUAGGGCCUGGUGUACACUAGGAAAUUAGUUUGGUAUAAUUAUGUUACUCAGGAGUGUGAAAAAUCCACACCCUUGAACUAUGUAGCUUAAACCAAUUUAACUCCUGGUGUAGACAGCGCUAGAUCAAUGGGAGAAUUCUCCCAUUGACCUAACUACCGCCUGUCAGGGAGGUGGAUUACCUACCCUGACGGGCAAACCCCUUCCAUUGGCAUAGGUAGUGUUGUCACUGCAGCUAUGCGGCGUUAGCAUUUUAAGUGUAGACAUACAGAAUGUACGGGCUGAGGGCUUGUCUACGCUACCAAAUUUUGUUGACAAAACUUAUGUUGACACCCAAAAGUCGACAAAACAAAAAUCGCCAAAGGGUGUUCACACUUGCUCCCUCUGUCGACAGAUCAUGUCCUCAUUGGAGACACCAUCAUCGACAGGGUGAGCAAUGCACUGUGGGUAUGUAUCCCACAGAGCAGUGUUGUGGGAAGGAAGAGCUGACCGCUGCGUACCUUGGCAUUCUCUCCGAGUUCUCCCACAGCCGCCUCAGCUGCCGAGAGCAGCGUCAUGACUAGCGCUGUGAGCUCUCCGUGCUGAGGAAGGGCACAGCCGUCUGUCCUCCUCCCCUUGCAGCCGCAGCCUGCCUGCUGCUGUGUUCCUAGCGCAGGGCAGAACAGGAGCGGUCCAGUGAUUUGCUCUUUGUAUGUUCCCCAAAUGGAGCAGCCCAAAGAUACUUCCCGGAGCUUUGAAAGGGGAGGGGCACAUGCCUGCAGGGCAGCAGAGAUCAAAACACUGAGCAGAGCAAUCAGGGCAGGCAUUGUGGGAUACUGGUGGAAGCCAGUUCUGUGGACAAAACAAUCAGCAGAGUCUACACUGGCUCUUUGUCGACAGCAAAGGGAGGGGAAAAGACAAAAGUCUCUCGUGGGGUGAUGAUUUUUUUGUCGCCAAAAUUGGGUGUUUUUCGCAACAAAAGUCCCAUUGUAGUGUGUACGCUCUUGCUGUUUUAUCGCCAAAGGGCAGUUUUUGGCAACAAAACUUGUUAGUGUAGACAAGGCCUGAAGGUAAAGCAGCAGCAGUUUCCUUCCCCCACUCCUUUUAAAGACUAUUUCAUGUGUGUUGAUAAAAUUAAAUAUUAAUUUUUAUUUCUUGUAACCCGUAUCUUUAUAAUAAUGCUGACUGAUGUAAAUACCUUUAUUUGGCAAAUUGGCAGCCCAGACCUAAAGAUACUUUUAAUGUGGAAACACUUGAUACCAUAUCUUACUAGUUACCUUAGUUCUCAUUAAGCUCUGCUUUUCUUGCUUGCUGAUUUAAUUUCUUCUAGUUUUUUUUAAAUAAAAAUCUUGAUCUCAAAGGUGUAAAACAAGUUCAUCUAUUUAGAAUACUUUAUGUAAACAAUUUUGCUUUCGUAUAAUAUGCAGUACAUACAACCAUGUUGCUGCACCGCAAGAAACAGGCACAAAACAAGUUACUGGUCCCAGAAUUUACGUUUCUAAAAUAUUUCUUACACAAGAUACCAUUAUAUCAGAUAUACCUGUUUAGACUGCAAGCUUUUCGCAGCACAGAUGGUGUAUUCCUAUAUGUCUAUAUAUGGCCUAGCACUUUUGGGGCACUUUCUGUAAUAUCAAUAAUUACCAGAAAGCAAUGAUAUUCUUCAGUUUUUAAAAGUGAAUUUACAAAUAUGAAAUGCUGGGAACUCCUGUUCCAGGCUACUAUAUGAAUCUCAGACACCCCUCUGAUGGCUGCGGUAUUAGUCUAACAGACAGAUUUUAAAAGGGUUCUUAUUAACGAGUUAGGGCAACCCAUCAGCUAGAAAAAAUGAAUUGCUACAACAUGUUAGGCACAAAGCUGGUGGUCAUUAUCACCUGGUGGAUAUAGAUGCAGGAAGUGGUGCAAUUUUUAUGUCACAUAAUGUUUAAACGUUAUAGGGCAACCAAUCUGAAAAAAAUCAUAAAAUCACAAAAAAGACUAUAACUCAAAGAUACAUAGUCUAAUUUUCACCAAAAUUGGCAGAAAGCUCCUCAAUACAAUUGAUAAUGCAACUAUGUACUCAGAAUAGGCAUGUUUGGGAAAUACUUAGCCGCAGGUGAUAUUUUAUGCCGUCUCCUAUACACAAAAUCUGUAGUCACGUGACAGUCUGAGCUUGUUUGUCCAUGUUCCAAUGUGGUUAUAUGAAUUAUGCUAGACAGAGUUGUGUACAUGUAGCAGAAGCCAGACUUCUAGAGGAGAAACUGUGUAAUAUAACAUGCCCUAAUUGAUAGUCAGGGAGCAGUAUACCAUACUGCCAGACCCUUCAGUGACGUACGACAUGACAGCCAUUGAGUAAUUUCUCAACAAGGACUGUGUGAAGCAUCAGCAUCUUAUCACAAAAGAUAAGGUUCUGAUCAAGCAUUUCCUGACUGCACAUUUUAAGGCAGCUGUAACAGCUAUGACAAAACAAAUGUGUAGAGUGCAUUCUUGAGCACAGAUCUCCACAAAGAAGCUACCAUAAAGGUUGCAGAUGAAACUGCUGUUGAAGUUAUUAAAAAAAUUUGUGACUGAAAGAAUGGCAAAUACUUUUAGCAUUGAAUCUGGAUCAAGCCCAGACAACAGCCAGCCACUUGCGAACAUUACAACAUCUACUGGGGCCCCACCUGAAAUUGCAGAAAGUUUGUGCAUAAGAGAGAAUGGCACACAAGAAAUGAAGCAGUUUGUAACCAGUCUGCUCCAAAAGGGUGAGGUAGACCUCUUUGAUCCCAUAAAAAUGUAUCAUGUCAAAUCAUUUGCUAAUCUCAAUAAGUCAAUCAAACAAAAGAAGCAGACAGCACAAGCAAUAACUGUUGAUUGCCAGAUAUUGAGCAAGUGGACUGUUAUUGCCCAGUCCAGAGAUGUCGAUAUCCAGGGUUUGUUGAAGUAUGAGCUCCCAUCUGUCCAGUUUUCCCUCUUCAUCUUGGUUGGAUCUCUAAGAAAGACCCAAAA